CAGCCGCCGCGGUAAUACCGAGGGUGCGAGCGUUAAUCGGAUUUACUGGGCGUAAAGCGUGCGUAGGCGGCUUUUUAAGUCGGAUGUGAAAUCCCCGAGCUUAACUUGGGGAUUGCAUUCGAUACUGGGAAGCUAGAGUAUGGGAGAGGAUGGUAGAAUUCCAGGUGUAGCGGUGAAAUGCGUAGAGAUCUGGAGGAAUACCGAUAGCGAAGGCAGCCAUCUGGCCUAAUACUGACGCUGAGGUACGAAAGCAUGGGGAGCAAACAGGAUUAGAUACCCCAGUAGUCCCUGUCUCUUAUAC
rnacentral:rRNA from 1 species